rnacentral:rRNA from 1 species
UACGUAGGUGACAAGCGUUGUCCGGAUUUACUGGGCGUAAAGAGCGCGCAGGCGGUCGUAUAAGUCGCGUGUGAAAGCCCCCGGCUCAACUGGGGAGGGUCACGCGAUACUGUUCGACUCGAAGGCAGGAGAGGGAAGUGGAAUUCCCGGUGUAGUGGUGAAAUGCGUAGAUAUCGGGAGGAACACCAGUGGCGAAGGCGACUUCCUGGCCUGUUCUUGACGCUGAGGCGCGAAAGCUAGGGUAGCAAACGGG